UAAGUCAGAAUCCAUGCUGGCUAAGCAGUGUUUCUCGUUGCCUCACUUGUUACUCGCAUGUCUUUUUAGUACCUCGAGCACAACAUCUUAUCACAGCCCUUUGCGUUACGCGCCGGGCGACAAUAGCAAUUUCCCACAAUUGGGGCGGUACAUCCAUUGCAGACGACUUUGGCACAACCAGGUAUUGUAAGUGUGAGAGUAGGCUUGUCCUACGAUCCACUAAGAUUCAGCCUGCGUUGUAUGAUGUGU
rnacentral:ncRNA from 1 species